UAGUAUAUCGGAACGUACCCAAGAGUGGGGAUAACGUAGCGAAAGUUACGCUAAUACCGCAUACGAUCCAAGGAUGAAAUGGGGACCGCAAGGCCUCAUGCUCCUGGAGCGGCCGAUAUCUGAUUAGCUAGUUGGUGAGGUAAAGGCUCACCAAGGCGACGAUCAGUAGCUGGUCUGAGAGGACGACCAGCCACACUGGGACUGAGACACGGCCCAG
rnacentral:rRNA from 1 species